GGCUGCUGCACGUGCCUUUUUGAAUGAUUUCGCCAUCAAAACAAUUAUUUGUUUACACCAAAUGGUUAAUACCAAAACAAAGAGAGAAUGAGGCCGAUGCCAGAAAUUGCACGAAAUUGUUUGCAACUCUUGUCGGAACCGUCUAGAUCGGUACACUAUACAAUUGCAUACUAUAUUUUCCAUAGAAUUGAUUUUUCGAAAAAAACAAUUUUUUAACGGUGCUCCACACUGCAAAAAUUAUCUCGCUAUAUUUCAUGAAUUACAUGAAAUUUUUCAUAUUGAAAAAUUUGAGCUGGCUUGCAUUUCUUAUUUAUCUGAAUUCGGUGGCGUGUGUGCAUGUGCAUGUGGGUGUGUGUGUACAUUAAAACUGUAACAAAACCCCCAGACGGGGAGUGGUCUUUGUUGUUUUUGGUGGAACCUCUUAUCGGCAGCGACGGAAAUUGCUUUGGUCGAAAUCUCGUCAGCGGUAAAUCGGUACAGUGCAUAAACAUUGAUACAAGCGAUACGAUUGAUCCCGCAUGAUGAGUCAGCGGCGUUGAACGGCUGAACAUUGAACGAUGGACAGGCGCCCCCGCCCCCGCCCCCAAUAACGCGUCGGAAGAUAUGGGGUUCCAGGAAUCCCAAUCGCCAUCCUCGUUCCUCCCCUCCCUCCUGCCAACCACGCCCUCAGUAUUUCGUCAGAAAAGCUUGAGCUUACAACUGUCCUACGAGCACAUCCUGUGUCACCUUCAACUGUCAUACGCGGACGACGGCGACGUCGCUGCCCGUUGCUGCUGCCUGCUGCCUGCUGUUGAUGUUGGCAGCGGCCUGUGCAGAGAGUAUUCGGGAAUCCAGUUUUUGGGGGCUCGCCCCGUCACACACAAAGCCACAUAGUGUGCUGUAUAUGUAUGUACAUAUACAUUAACUUAUAUAUACAUACAUAUACAUAUGUAUAUGUAUGUAGAUGUUUGAGUGCGAGGGGUUGCUUUUGCGCUUGUCCGUUUUGUUACAUAUUACAAACAUAUUGUACAUAAUAUAUACAAAAUAAUUGAUUUUUGUUAGUAUUUUAUCGUGGGUAUUACAUACAUACAUAUAUGUAUGUAUGUACCUACUCUUUGAGUGUGUGACGUCAAUGAUGAUGACGUCGCCGAAGCAGCGUCGUCUGUCUGAUGAAACGCAACCCACUCAGCCUCUGCCUCAGUCCAGAGGUCAAUGCAGCGACAGAGCGGCGCAGCGGCUAAUGACAGAGAGUGGAAAAUUUGUGAAAAUCACAAAAUCCUAGAGAGGAUGGGUGACAGAAAGAGAGACAGAUAGAGAGAGAGCGAGAGCGAAAGCGAGAUGCUAUCCGGCCUUCGCUCAUGAGGAAAAGUCAUUAAUUAUAAUACUUAUUGUAUUUGGCAAGCCGUAAAUAAACUUCACGUGACGCUCGAAAAACGCGGAAAACACA
rnacentral:sRNA from 1 species